GGGCCAGCAGCCGCGGUAAUACGGAGGGUGCAAGCGUUAAUCGGAAUUACUGGGCGUAAAGCGCACGCAGGCGGUUUGUUAAGUCAGAUGUGAAAUCCCCGGGCUCAACCUGGGAACUGCAUCUGAUACUGGCAAGCUUGAGUCUCGUAGAGGGGGGUAGAAUUCCAGGUGUAGCGGUGAAAUGCGUAGAGAUCUGGAGGAAUACCGGUGGCGAAGGCGGCCCCCUAGACGAAGACUGACGCUCAGGUGCGAAAGCGUGGGGGGCAAACAGGAUUAGAUACCCUGGUAGUCC
rnacentral:rRNA from 1 species